UACGUAGGGGGCAAGCGUUGUCCGGAUUUAUUGGGCGUAAAGAGCGUGUAGGCGGCCAGCCAAGUCCGUUGUGAAAACUAGAGGCUUAACCUCUAGACGUCGAUGGAAACUGUUUGGCUAGAGUCCGGAAGAGGAGAAUGGAAUUCCUGGUGUAGCGGUGAAAUGCGCAGAUAUCAGGAAGAACACCCGUGGCUAAGGCGGUUCUCUAGUACGGUACUGACGCUGAGACGCGAAAGCGUGGGGAGCGAACAGG
rnacentral:rRNA from 1 species